UCACUCAGUUCCUGCCUUGAGUUCCUGCCCUGACUUUCCCUGUGGUGCACUUUCAACUGCAAGUAAAAUAAAUUCUUUUUCCUAUAGUUGUUUUGGUCAUAGCUUUUAUUACAGCAACAGAAAUCUAAGGUGAUGAUGGUUUAUGUUUCCCCCAGAGUUCAUGGGUUUGAAAAUUAACUGCCAAUGCAGCAGUGUUGGCGAGUGGGUCCUUUAAAAGUCAAUCAGAUACAGGGCUGACAAGAUGGCUAGAGAUGCUCUUCUAGAGGAACUGACUUCAGCUCCCAGCCUGUAUGUGGUGGCUCACAACCACCUGUAAAUCCAGCUCCGGAGCAUUUGACAUUCUCUUCUGCAUUUCUAUGGCAUAUUUUCACACAACUCACAUACAUACAUACAUACAUACAUACAUACAUAUUUUUGUCACAGAAGUACAUAAUGUACUUUGCCAAGUAUUUAUGAACACUGAAUUGCUAUUUAUUGUGUUCAAACAACACAACCAUAGCAAGAAAAAUCCUUCUGCUCUGUAAUGUUUCCAG
rnacentral:lncRNA from 1 species